rnacentral:lncRNA from 1 species
CUAACUAUCCAAAUAAUGAAUCAGGGGACGUCUAUAACUCCGUAUCAUCAAAUAAAAUAAAUAAAAAUAAUUUAUUCGAGAAGCAGAGUAGUAUAUCGAAAUAUCCAUCUCCAUAUCGACAUAUACAUUUUCUUAUCAAAAUUUAUUAAUAAUAUUUAUUUUUUUUAUUAUAAGAUGCUAGAAUAUCUGGCUCUCAUUCAUCAGCUGCUGGAGAGGACAUAC